rnacentral:misc_RNA from 1 species
AACGCACGAGACCUGCGGACCUGCGGAGGGAUCGUUAGUGAACGCCCUCACGGGCUUAUAACUAUUCCAAACCUCUGUGAACCGUGCCCUUCGGGGCUAUUUUACAAACAUGGUGUAAUGAACGUCAUAUAUCAUAACAAAACAAAACUUUCAACAAUGGAUCUCU